GNGANGGANCNGCAGUCGACGAUUCCUACGGGAGGCAGCAGUGGGGAAUAUUGCACAAUGGGCGCAAGCCUGAUGCAGCAACGCCGCGUGCGGGAUGAAGGCCCUAGGGUUGUAAACCGCUUUCAGCAGGGAAGAAAAUGACGGUACCUGCAGAAGAAGGUGCGGCCAACUACGUGCCAGCAGCCGCGGUGACACGUAGGCACCAAGCGUUGUCCGGAUUUAUUGGGCGUAAAGAGCUCGUAGGCGGUUCAGUUAGUCGGGUGUGAAAACUCUGGGCUCAACCCAGAGACGCCACCCGAUACUGCUGUGACUAGAGUACGGUAGGGGAGUGGGGAAUUCCUGGUGUAGCGGUGAAAUGCGCAGAUAUCAGGAGGAACACCAGUGGCGAAGGCGCCACUCUGGGCCGUAACUGACGCUGAGGAGCGAAAGCAUGGGUAGCAAACAGGAUUAGAUACCCUGGUAGUCCAUGCCGUAAACGUUGGGCACUAGGUGUGGGUCUCAACCAACGAGAUCCGCGCCGUCGCUAACGCAUUAAGUGCCCCGCCUGGGGAGUACGGUCGCAAGACUAAAACUCAAAGGAAUUGACGG
rnacentral:rRNA from 1 species